CUCUCUAUCCAUCCAUCAGCGGCUCUGCUCUCCUUCCCCUCUCUCUCUCUCCGUGCUGCAGCCACACACGCACACGCCCACGGCGCUGCUUUCCCCCUCUCUCUUCUUCCUCCACAAGGAACCAAGCAUCACUCUCUGCCUGACCGUGGCGCCAGAAUCGAGCUCGGAUUCGCGCGCUAAGCUCCUCCCUCCCCGCCCCUGAUCCCCUCUUCCUUUGGCGUUCGUUCCAUUGACCCCAUCUCUCUCUUUCGAUUUCCCUGGCUGUCUCGCCCGCGACCGGUGGCUGCUUCGCGUUCGUCGAGAAGGGAGUCGCCACAAGGAACACAACCAGAACACCUCGCCUUGGAGCUCGUUGCCUCCGGCAAUCUCUCUGUCGGCCUCGUGCUCCUCCGCCACGAGCGCCGCCUCCUACCCGUCGUCCAUCUCCUGGAGGUGCCUGUCAGGCAGGGGUUGAUGCUUAUCCUCGACUCUCUCUGUCAGCUCUCUCCUUCUCCAAGCCGAGGAGGAUGAAUGGGGCUCUCGCAGGUCGGCCGCUACGUCCGCGUUGACUGUGGGCGAGUGCGCGCGACCGACACAUACGGCCCCGCCUCUGCUCCUCCUCGUUCUCUCGCCCAGGCAGCGUGCCGCCCGCGUCCUUCAUGUGCUCGACGUCGUCGUCCUGCUCCCGAUCGGAUCGGGAGCGCCGCCGCUCGAUCCCAAAAAGAAUCUCUAACCGUUUUUUCUAAACAUACCGAGAACUGUGGGUUGAAUAGCAAAAAUAGAAUGGUCUUUUCUGUAAAAAGGCCACGCCGUACGAAUCAGAUGCGGGACAAAACCAAAAAUAUCACCUUGCUUUAAUAGUAGGUAUAGAUAUAGAUAUAUAUGAGAGGACGAAGAAUCCCGACUAUUGUUGUGGGGGUCGCUUCUCCUUCAUUCCCGUGUGCUAGACAUUUUGGUGUAAUGCACUCGGGGAUGAAAGGAGGAGCGACCAUCACCAAUGGUCGAAUGUAUACACCACGUGAGCUGAGAGUUUUCAAGAAAA